rnacentral:rRNA from 1 species
UUCUGGUUGAUCCUGCCGGAGGCUACCGCUAUUGGAGUUCGAUUAAGCCAUGCGAGUCGAGAGUCUUAGGGACUCGGCGCACCGCUCAGUAACACGUGGGUAACCUGCCCUAUGCUGGGGAAUAACCUCGGGAAACUGAGAAUAAUGCCCCAUAGCCCACUACGCCUGGAACGGUGAGUGGGUCAAAGCUCCGGCGGCAUAGGAUGGGCCUGCGCCGUAUCAGGUUGUAGGGGGUGUAAAGUACCCUCUAGCCAUCAACGCGUACGGGUGUUGGGAGACAUUGCCCGGAGAUGGAUUCUGAGACACGAAUCCAGACCCUACGGGGUGCAGCAGGCGCGAAAACUUGGCAAUGCGAGCAAUCGUGACCAGGGAACUCCAAGUGCGUAGGGUAAGACCUACGCUUUUCUUGACUCUUCAAAGGUCUUGGAAUAAGGGGUGGGUAAGGACGGUGCCAGCCGCCGCGGUAAUACCGGCGCCUCAAGUGGUAGUCGCUUUUAUUGGGCCUAAAACGUCCGUAGCCGGUCUGGUGCAUUCGUGGGUAAAUCAACCCGCUCAACGGGUUGAAUUCUGCGAGCACGGCCAGACUUGGGACCGGGAGAGGUGUGGGGUACUCUCAGGGUAGGGGUAAAAUCCUGUCAUCCUGAGAGGACCACCUGUUGCGAAGGCGCCACACUAGAACGGAUCCGACGGUCAGGGACGAAACCUAGGGGCACGAACCGGAUUAGAUACCCGGGUAGUCCUAGGUGUAAACGCUGUGGACUUGAUGUUGGGGGCGCUCCGAGCGCUUUCAGUGUCGAAGCGAAGGUGAUAAGUCCACUGCCUGGGGAGUACGGUCGCAAGGCUGAAACUUAAAGGAAUUGGCGGGGGAGCACUGCAACCUGAGGAUUGUGCGGUUUAAUUGGACUCAACGCCGGGA